AGGACGAACGCUGGCGGCGUGCUUAACACAUGCAAGUCGAACGGUGACCCAGGGCUUGCCCUGGUGAUCAGUGGCGAACGGGUGCGUAACACGUGGGGAACUUGUCCCGGUCUCUGGGAUAACAGUUGGAAACGACUGCUAAUACCGGAUGACGUCGGAACUUCGCAUGGAGUACUGACGAAAGGGUUACUGGAUCGGGAGAGCCUCGCGGCCUAUCAGCUUGUUGGUGGGGUAAUGGCCUACCAAGGCAUCGACGGGUAGCUGGUCUGAGAGGAUGAUCAGCCACACUGGGACUGAGACACGGCCCAGACUCCUACGGGAGGCAGCAGUGGGGAAUCUUGCACAAUGGGCGAAAGCCUGAUGCAGCAACGCCGCGUGCGGGAAGAAGGCCCUCGGGUUGUAAACCGCUUUCAGAAGGAACGAAACUGACGGUACUUUCAGAAGAAGGUGCGGCCAACUACGUGCCAGCAGCCGC
rnacentral:rRNA from 1 species